CAUUAAGUGGUGCACUCUAAGUUGACUGCCGGUGACAAACCGGAGGAAGGUGGGGAUGACGUCAAAUCAUCAUGCCCCUUAUGAUUUGGGCUACACAAGUGCUACAAUGGACAAUACAAAGGGCAGCGAAACCGCGAGGUCAAGCAAAUCCCAUAAAGUUGUUCUCAGUUCGGAUUGAAGUCUGCAACUCGACUACAUGAAGCUGGAAUCGCUAGUAAUCGUAGAUCAGCAUGCUACGAUGAAUACGUUCCC
rnacentral:rRNA from 1 species